GAUGAACGCUAGCGGCAGGCCUAACACAUGCAAGUCGAGGGGUAGUUACUUUCGGGUAAUGAGACCGGCGCACGGGUGCGUAACGCGUAUGCAAUCUACCUUUUACAGGGGAAUAGCCCAGAGAAAUUUGGAUUAAUGCCCCAUAGUAUAAUUGAAUCGCAUGGUUUAAUUAUUAAAGUUCCAACGGUACAAGAUGAGCAUGCGUCCCAUUAGUUAGUUGGUAAGGUAACGGCUUACCAAGACAAUGAUGGGUAGGGGUCCUGAGAGGGAGAUCCCCCACACUGGUACUGAGACACGGACCCGACUCCUACGGGAGGCAGCAGUAAGGAUAUUGGACAAUGGUCGGAAGACUGAUCCAGCCAUCCCGCGUGCAGGAUGACUGCCCUAUGGGUUGUAAACUGCUUUUAUAUGGGAAGAAUAGCAUAGAUUCAUCUGUGUAUGACGGUACCAUAUGAAUAAGCACCGGCUAAACUCCGUG
rnacentral:rRNA from 1 species